rnacentral:rRNA from 1 species
GAUGAACGCUAGCGGCAGGCCUAACACAUGCAAGUCGAGGGGCAUCGCGGUGCAGCAAUGCACUGGCGGCGACCGGCGUACGGGUGCGUAACGCGUAUGCAACCUGCCCCGCACCGGGGGAUAGCCCGCCGAAAGGCGGAUUAAUACCCCAUGGUCCCGGGGGCCCGCAUGGGCAUCCGGGUAAAGCCUUGGCGGUGCGGGAUGGGCAUGCGUGCCAUUAGCUGGCUGGUGGGGUAACGGCCCACCAGGGCAACGAUGGCUAGGGGGUCUGAGAGGAUGGUCCCCCACACUGGUACUGAGACACGGACCAGACUCCUACGGGAGGCAGCAGUGAGGUAAUAUUGGUCAAUGGGCGGAAGCCUGAACCAGCCAUGCCGCGUGCGGGAUGAAGGCCCUACGGGUUGUAAACCGCUUUUCCCCGGGAAGAAUAACCCCGAUGAGUCGGGGAUGGCCGGUACCGGGGAAUAAGGAUCGGCUAACUCCGUG